GUUUACUAAUUUUCGUAUCUUUUUCGGAGUCAAGCCAAACAACCCCAAAACGCCAAUCACGUGACAUCAACAUCAUUAUCCUCCUCCUCCAUUCCCUCACUUUCAGUGCCCCCAAACAUCCAUCCAAAAUCCCUUCUAGAGAGAGAGUUUUUAGAGAGAGAAAGAAAUGGAAUUGGAACCCCCUCCUUCCCAAUCCAUAGAGAAAACAUACCAGACAGAAGAUGAACAGGACAAAGCCGUAGACGAGUGUUGUUCUUGCUGCUAUGACUGCACAGAUAGCUGCUUUGAGUACUUCUGCUGCUAGAAUCUCUGUUAAUUAAUAUUAAGGAUGUUAUUAUCAAAUUAUAUUCUAUGUUUCUGUCAGUGAAUCAUCAACCCCCUCUAGAAACAUGUUUGUACUUUGAUCUCUCUUGAAUUUAUGAGAGAAUAAUAUUAAGCUAUGUUGGGAGCAGAUUCAUUUUAUUUA